UUUCACUCCCUCCCCCUCUCUCUUUCUAAACUAAAUUAGGGUUUAAAGCUUUACAACCAUCGAAGAAGCAAUGCCGAUUAGAGACAAUCGCUUACAACCAUUGAAGCAUCUUAUAACCAUUAAUCUCUUAUAAUCACUUAAUUACAAUCAUUUACAACAGCUUUACAAUCUCUCACCCUCUUUAAUUACUCCCCUCCCCAUUGAAGCAGCAGGCCAGUUCGGGACACGCCACUGGACCAAAUUUCAUUUGUGUCAGAUUGAGCUUAAGAUUGCUCCAGCUGGUUUUUGGUUCCCAAUAACUAAUCAAACAAGGCACUAUUUUCCCGCUACAUCGAGUUUCAUAGGGUUGAGGGAGGAAUAUAAAGAUGUGGUAGCUAGAUUUGGGACUUGGGUGUGUACUUAUGCAACAUGGUAAGGUGGUGGCCUAUGGGUCAAGGCAGUUGAAGGUACAUGAGAAGAACUAUCCCACCCAUGAUUUAGAGUUGGCAUUUCUGGUGUUUGUGCUUAAAAUUUGGCGUCAUUAUCUUUAUGUGGUGUAUGUUAACAUCUUUACUAAUCAUAAGAGUCUAUAGUAUGUGUUCACCCAGAAAGAGCUGAAUCUCAGGAUUAUAAAGAGGUCCUAGCACAUCCACAUCGCCAUCCAUUGAUAGUGCUACAACGUCUAAUGCUACCGCAGCUGCUUUCCAGAAUCUGAAAUUUAAAGAGGUAGUAGAAUAUGAUAGCAACGGGAGGCUAAUUAUCGUCCCUAAUUGUAAUGGGUUCAUUCUCGCAUAUAGCGCUGGGCAUAUGGUUAUAGAUGCAAUUAAACCUUUUUAUUUGGAGCCGUAAGGUCUUUGGAAUGAGAUUUGACUCGACAGCAAAAUUCUUAUGUCGAAAUAGUUUACGACAAUGUAUGCAUGAAAGUCUUGUCAUGAAAAUAAAAUACAAGUCAUUUUCAAGUUGAAAGAUGUUCUACGGAUCAAAGAACACUUGUAUGAGGCCCGAAAGAACUUGAAAAAUCCUGGUUGGCUGAAAGAUGAUGUGUGGGUCAAGUUCUUGAAAAAAUGGGAUACUCCUGAGUAUAGGGCGAGAAGGGAAUGAGCAAUGACAAAUAGAGCCUCUAAAAUGGGUGGCUUAUUGCACACUGAGGUUCGAUGAGUUUUGCUACCCACCGAUGAAGACUGGUAAUAUUAGUUUAAAUUAUUAACAUCUAUGUUAGAGAUUCUAUAUUACUGUAUAAUUUUUUUUGUGUAUUGGAACGUGAUGGAGUAAUUUUUCUCCAAAACAUCAGUCUAUUCAAAUUGGACCGAA